rnacentral:lncRNA from 1 species
CCUUGCUACCAUUAGUAGAUAUAAAGUUAUAUCUUUUUAUGUCUCUGAGCAUAUAUUUACUACAUAAAUAAUGUUACACAAAUUAAAAUAUAUAAUAUAUGCUUUUGUCUGUCUACUGUGAAGAUUUUUUUCCUUUUACCUGCCUGCCUUUUUCCUUUCAAGCCUCUCCUUCCCUCCCAGCUCCCCAUUCCCCUUCCUUCUCCCCACCUUCUCUCUUUUGUAAUUUUUUCCUUUAUUUUUGUUUUUAGUAGAGACACAGUCUUGCUAUGUUGCCCAAGCUGGUCUCGAGCUCCUGAGCUCAAGCAUCCUCCUGCCUCAGCCUCCCAAAGUGCUGGGAUUACAGGCGUGAGCCACUGCCCAGCCCCCAUCUUCUCUCUUAUGUCCUUCCUCUCUCUUUUCCAUUUCUCCACCCCACAUUGCCUCACCCCACACAUGUAACCUUGCCCAUAUUCUUUCAGAACCUUCUCCAUACUGAUAUAAUCAUAUGAGGCUUACAUGCCCAGGUGUGUGCGUGCACGAGUGUGUGUGUGCACGUGCAUGUGUGUGUGUGCACGCGCUUGUGUGUGUACACAGACAUGCAUAGGAGAUUUUGGCCCUUAUUUGUUUUACAAAAGUGGAAUUCUAUUAAACAUACAUCUUUGCAAAUACCUCGUAGAAAGCCUACAAGUUAAAGAGCAGAGCUCCAAUUUUUUCAUCUCAUUGCUUCCUGCCACUCACCUUGAGGACGCAUCUUAAUCCACCCACCUCCUCAUUGAUGAGCGCUCCGUCUGUGCUCCGCCUCUAUUCACAGUGCUG